GUGAGGAAUAUUGCGCAAUGGAGGCAACUCUGACGCAGCCAUGCCGCGUGCAGGAAGAAGGCGCUACGCGUUGUAAACUGCUUUUAACCGGGAAGAAACCCCAGGACGUGUCCUGGGUUGACGGUACCGGAGGAAUAAGCACCGGCUAACUUCGUGCCAGCAGCCGCGGUAAUACGAAGGGUGCAAGCGUUAUCCGGAUUCAUUGGGUUUAAAGGGUGCGUAGGCGGAGCGUUAAGUCAGUGGUGAAAUCCUGCAGCUUAACUGUAGACUUGCCAUUGAUACUGGCGCUCUUGAGGGCGCUUGAAGUGGGCGGAAUGUGCCGUGUAGCGGUGAAAUGCUUAGAUAUGGCACAGAACACCAAUUGCGAAGGCAGCUCACUAAGGCGAUACUGACGCUGAGGCACGAAAGCGUGGGGAUCGAACAGGAUUAGAUACCCGUGUAGUCC
rnacentral:rRNA from 1 species